rnacentral:tRNA from 1 species
UCUCUAAUAGCUUAACGGUAGAGCACAUGGCUGUUAACCAUAUGGUUAUAGGUUCGAUUCCUAUUUAGAGAG